rnacentral:rRNA from 1 species
AACGAACGCUGGCGGCAGGCUUAACACAUGCAAGUCGAGCGCCCCGCAAGGGGAGCGGCAGCCGGGUGCGUAACGCGUGGGAACGUACCUUUUGGUUCGGAACAACUCCGGGACACUGGAGCUAAUACCGGAUAAGCCCUAACGGGGAAAGAUUUAUCGCCGAAAGAUCGGCCCGCGUCUGAUUAGCUAGUUGGUGAGGUAACGGCUCACCAAGGCGACGAUCAGUAGCUGGUCUGAGAGGAUGAUCAGCCACACUGGGACUGAGACACGGCCCAGACUCCUACGGGAGGCAGCAGUGGGGAAUAUUGGACAAUGGGCGCAAGCCUGAUCCAGCCAUGCCGCGUGAGUGAUGAAGGCCUUAGGGUUGUAAAGCUCUUUUGUCCGGGAAGAUAAUGACUGUACCGGAAGAAUAAGCCCCGGCUAACUUCGUG